AUUGAACGCUGGCGGCAUGCCUAACACAUGCAAGUCGAACGGAGGUAGGGGCAACUCUACUUCAGUGGCGGACGGGUGAGGAAUGCGUCGGAAUCUACCCUAUGGUGGGGGAUAACACAGGGAAACUUGUGCUAAUACCGCAUAAUGUCGAGAGACCAAAGCAGGGGACCGCAAGGCCUUGCGCGAUAGGAUGAGCCGACGCCCGAUUAGCUAGUUGGUAGGGUAAAGGCCUACCAAGGCGACGAUCGGUAGCUGGUCUGAGAGGAUGAUCAGCCACACUGGGACUGAGACACGGCCCAGACUCCUACGGGAGGCAGCAGUGGGGAAUAUUGGACAAUGGGCGCAAGCCUGAUUCAGCAAUGCCGCGUGUGUGAAGAAGGCCUGCGGGUUGUAAAGCACUUUUGUUCGGGAAGAAAUCAUACUGGUUAAUACCUGGUAUGGAUGACGGUACCGAAAGAAUAAGCACCGGCUAACUUCGUGCCAGCAGCCG
rnacentral:rRNA from 1 species